rnacentral:lncRNA from 1 species
AUCUUUGGGAUAUGUUAUAAGGAAAGUAGGAGCAGGAGAUCCUGCAAGGCAAAGAGCAAGCUUCCAGAAUUCUAGGAGAGUGACAGAACUUGGCUUUUGACUGGUGACAGUUGAAGCUAAGGGGGGCAGUGAGUCUAGUUCCUUGGGUGGACCUCGCUGGAAUUUCACCAUAAUGCCAGAAUUAAUGAGCCCAAUUUUAGAAAAAUGGAUACAACCCCUCAGUGGUGGUCACCUACUGCCAAGUGGCCAAGGAAAGAAGAAUGUUUCAUUCUAGACCGUCAGAGAGAUUGUGAGUGGAGUCGGAGGGCAACAGAUUGCCAGAUCUUCCAUAGUACCAAAGUUGAAGAACCUGAAGCAGAGAGAGGUUAAGUGACUUGCCCAGGGUCACACACCUGCUAAAUGUCUGAGGUUGAAUCUGAACUCAAGUAUAACUGAUUCUAGGCCCAGAGCUCUAUCCACUAUACAACACAGCUGCCAACUGAACAAAUAUUUAUUAAAACAAACAUUAUGGCCCCAGUUGAUCAUCAC